rnacentral:rRNA from 1 species
UUUAAAAAAGAAAUUAAGGUAUAUGGUGGAUGCCUAGGGUCUUUGUACCGAAAAAGGACGUGCAAGGCUGCGAUAAGCCUCGAUGAGCCGCCAAGGGGCGUUAUUAGUCGGGGAUUUCCGAAUGGGGAAACCUGGUCCAAAGCAAUUUGAGAUCACUCACUAUCAAAAAUUUUGCCUUCGGGUAGAACUAUAAAUAGUGUAGAGGGUACCCUGCGAAGUGAAACAACUCAGUAGCAGGAGGAAAAGAAACUAAAUUAAGUAUUUCCUGAGUAGCGGCGAGCGAAAAGGAAACAGCCCAAACCCAAUUUAAGGGUAUAAGUAUGUUUAUGACCUAGUCAUAAACAUACGACUACUCUUAUUAUAUAUGGGGGUACGGACAACCCAAUUUAAAAGUUACAAAGUUUUUAUGUAGAAGAAGCCGGCUGGAAAGCCGUACCACAGAGAGUAAUAGUCUCGUAUUCGAAACAUAAAAGCCUUUUUGGGUUGGUCCUGAGUAGCAUGGGACACGCAAAACCCUGUGUGAAUAAAGCAAGACCACUUGCUAAGGCUAAAUAUACAAAGACACCGAUAGUGAACUAGUACCGCGAGGGAAAGGUGAAAAGAACCCCUGUUAGGGGAGUGAAAUAGUAACUGAAACCAUAUACUGACAAGCUGACAGAGCCCGCCUUUGGUGGGUGAUGUCGUGCCUAUUGAAGAAUGAGCCAGCGAGUUAAUGUUGCAUGCAAGCUUAAUCCGUAAAACGGAGAAGGCGUAGGGAAACCGAGUCUGAAUAGGGCGAUUUAGUAUGCAGCAUUAGACCCGAAACCAUGUGAGCUAACCAUGGGCAGGAUGAAAUCCGUCGAAAGACGGAUGAAGGUCCGAACCAUUGUACGUGUCAAAGUGCUUGGAUGACCUGUGGUUAGGGGUAAAACGCCAAACGAACAUGGUGAUAGCUGGUUCUCCCCGAAAUAUAUUUUGGUAUAGCCUUGAGAUUUAGCACGUAAGAGGUAGAGAUACUGAAAGGGGAUGGGGGGCUUAGGCCUACCCACUCCUACCAAACUCCGAAUUCUUAUUGUGUAUGCUCGGGAGUCAGUACUGGGGGGCAAUCUCCUAGUACGAGAGGGCAACAACCCGGACCAUCAGAUAAGGUCCCUAAUCUUUGCUUAGUGGGUAAGGUUGUAAAAUUGUUAAGACAGCUAGGAAGUUGGCUCAGAAGCAGCCAUCUUUUAAAGAAAGCGUAACAGCUCACUAGUUUAACGAUUUUGCGCCGACAAUUUAACGGGGCUGAAGCAAAGAACCGAAUCUAUGGAUUACGUUAUGUUUUUAACAUCGCGUAGUAGUAGGGGAGCUUUGAUGCGCGCUGUGAAGGUAUACCCGUGAGGGAUACUGGAGCUGCAUCAAGUGAGUAUGCUGGCAUGAGUAACGAGACUCUGGUGAAAACCCAGAGCGCCGAAAAUCUAAGGGUUCCUCCGCUAUGUCAGUCAACGGAGGGUAAGUCGGCCCUAAGGCGAGGCCGAAAGGCGUAGCCGAUGGAUUGCAGGUUAAUAUUCCUGCACUGCCAUUUAAUCGUUAUUACCGAUGGAGGGACGGGGUUGGAUAGAUCAGGCUCAUUAAGGAUUUGAGUCUCGAAAGCAAAACAGUCUGUGCAGGUAAAUCCACACAGGCGUUUAUUUAAGCUGGGGGAAAGUCUGUCGCAAGAUGGGCAAUCUGAUUAUAUUUGACCUCCAAGAAAAACUUCUAGGGAGAUUUUAUGGUAACCGUACCGCAAACCGACACAGGUAGAUGAGUUGAGUAUACUAAGGCGAACGAGAGAAUCGUGGCUAAGGAAUUAGGCAAAUUACAUUCGUAACUUAGGGAAAAGAAUGCCCUACUUAAAUUUAUUUAGGUAGGGGGCACAUAAAUGGCUCAAGCGACUGUUUAUCAAAAACACAGGUCCCUGCUAAACUCGUAAGAGGAUGUAUAGGGGCCGACGCGUGCCCAGUGCCCGUAAGUUAAAUUCGGGGGUGAAGUGUAUCUUUGGAUAUACAAGCUUCUGAUACAAGCUCGGGUGAACGGCAGCAGUAACUAUAACUGUUCUAUGGUAGCGUAAUCCCUCGUCGAUUAAUUGUCGACCCGCACGAAACGCGUAACGACUUGAGCACUGUCUUUGUCACGAGCUCGGUGAAAUUGAACUACCGGUGAAGAUGCCGGUUACUCAUUGUUGGACAAAAAGACCCCGUGGAGCUUUACUAUAGCUUGGCAUUGGCAAGUGAUAUUAACUGUGUAGUGUAGGAGGGAGUUCUCGACCUUAAGUUGAGAACGUCAAUGAAACACCUCUCUUUUGAUCUCGCAAGCCUUACUAUCUCGCAUGAACUGCGAGGAGGACAAUGUCUGGCGGGUAGUUUAACUGGGGCGGUUUCCUGCUAAAAGGUAACGCAGGAGCCCAAAGGUCCCCUUAUCGCCGAUGGAAAUGGCGAUGUAAGCGUAAAAGUAUAUGGGGGCUUGACUGCGAGACAUACAAGUCGAGCAGGUACGAAAGUAGGGUUUAGUGAUCUUCCGAAUCCCUAGUGGUAGGGUCGGAACUUAACGGAUAAAAGUUACCCCGGGGAUAACAGGCUUAUCUUGCCCGAGCGUUCACAGCGGCGGCAAGGGUUGGCACCUCGAUGUCGUCUCGUCUCAUCCUGGGGCUGAAGCAGGUCCCAAGGGUUGGGCUGUUCUCCCAUUAAAGAGGCGCGUUAGAUGGGUUCAGAGCGUCGUAAGACAGCUCGGUCUCUUUCCACAAUGAGCGUAAAGAUUCAAAGGAGAUCUGUUCCUAGUACGAGAGGACCGGAAUGGACGAACCUCUAGUGUACCAGUUGUCAUGCCAAUGGCAUCGCUGGGUAGCUACGUUCGGAAGGGAUAAGCGCUGAAAGCAUCUAAGCACGAAACCCCCUCCAAGAUUAGAAUCUUUCUGCCGCAAGGCAGAUGCAAUUCCUAGGAGAAUACUAGGUUGAUAGGCUGUAGGUGUAAGUACAGUAAUGUAUUAAGCCAAGCAGUACUAAUGAUUGCAUAUCUUUUUUAAA